UGUAAAGUACAUAAGAAAUGAGGUAUAAAGGAUUUGUAUACAUAAUUAUAAUGUACAUGUAGAACUAGAAAUGGCAAAAUCUGAAAAUAAGACUCAUACCAGGUUUUCUAGCUUAGCAGCUAGUGUCUUUAUCCAUUAUAAUAUACAUGUACAUGUAUUUGUAUAUAUAUAAGUAAGUUAAGCAAACAGACUAUCAAAAGUGUUGCCUGUUGUGAAAGCAUUUACUAUCAUUUCUGGUAUUAUUUACCCAAUAGAAUGCAGGUAAACACAGCAAAUGAAAUCAGAGAAGGCACGCCAUACCAUCCCGCCAUAGAUACCCUGGACCUAUCAGCUGAUUCCAUUAAAGAAAUUCCUGAGCCUCAACCAUCACCUACAAUGGAGACUUCACCUCUACCAAAGAAAUGUUCAGCAGUUUACUUUGACCUUGAGAGUACAGGGCUAGCUAGGACUUCUCACAUCACUCAAAUUGCAGCAGUAUUUGGAGAGGAAAGCUUUGACACCUAUGUGAUACCACGUAUCCAAAUAUCGCCUACAGCAUCUACAGUUACUUGGCUCACAUGCAUAAACAGGACACUUUUUUUAUAAAGGCCACCCUGUUAAUUCUGUUUCGAUUUCAGUAGCCAUACAACAUUUCAUUACAUAUUUGAAGAAACAAACACCACGCGUGUUCCUUGUUGGACACAAUAU